AAAUGCUACUUUUUAAUAAAAUAGCAGUUACCAUAGCAGCCAGACAUCACAAAGUCAUUUCAAAAUCAAAGGCAUCUUCUUAAAGAAACCUUGUGAACAAUGUAUCUGAGCAAUAUCAUAAAAGGGCUCCCUUGUAUGUCUGGGGUUUAUUAUACAGAAUAAUUCAUUUCCCAACACUUUUCUCUAGCUUUCAAUAUCUACUCUACAACUGCACUCAAGAUUUUAUACAUUUUUCUUAUUUCUUGGGGUUUACUAAAAAGAAAAGAAAGAAACUUCACAACAGUGGAAAAGAUGGUUUUAACUUCAAGCCAGAUUUGUGAAGAAGAGAAGGAGAAGAGAGGGAGGAGGAUAGAAGGAAAAGGAGGAGGCAAAGGAGAAAAAGGAGAAGAGUGGUAGAAGAAGGACAAGGAGAAUAAAGAGGUUCUUCAGCUCCCCAAUUAGACUUUGCCUGAUCAGCCUUCCUCUUGCAACCAUUGUAUAAAUGUCUAAAUGGAGCAGGGAUGGUAAGAAGCGCACAAGGUCACUGCUGCUUCUGACGCAUGCCAGUCUCAUCUGUUUAGCGCCUUGAAUUACACUGCAGUGUCUUUUUGUCUUUUUCUUUUGUCCUCUAGAUCUUCCCACCUUGCUCAACUUUCGGAUUUUAUAGUUGCUACCCUGAAGCCUGAGAACAAAAAGAAUUUCUUUUGGAAAACAAUCUGUUUAAAAACAAGGUUUA